UAAAUUUUGGAACAUAUAGAACCUUCUGUAAAAAUUUGAGAAAUUUUGGAAAAGGAUAACUAUUUUAUAAAAAUCCUCGAAAAUAGUCCAGUUUUGGGUGAUUAAGCUGAAAUAAAGUAAGUAAUGCUUUGUAUGUCUAUAUGUCGGUUUGAUUAUUGAAAAUGAACUACGGGAUAUACGUAAAAGAAAAUGAUAUGCUAUGAAGCAUGGACACCCCUAUUUACAAAGGAUACUAUGGCAAAAUUAAAUUUUCCAAAAAAAAUCCUAACACUUAGUAAAUAUUUUCGGGACAAGCGUUACUAGUAUAUUCUAGACUAUGUUUUUCAAGCAUAAAACUCGCCAUAAUUUUUAUAACGAAAUACGGAAUAUCGGGGGUUGGUUUUAUACAGGAAUAUGGUUAAAUAUGUAUUCUCUAAAAUGGGACUUAAAAAUAUAAUCCCAAUAUGAACAGACACAUGUAAAAUAUCCCAUCCUUGGGAAGGAAAUACGAAUACACAAGCAU
rnacentral:lncRNA from 1 species